rnacentral:rRNA from 1 species
UACGGAGGGUGCAAACGUUGCUCGGAAUCAUUGGGCGUAAAGCGCACGUAGGCGGCUCAGCAAGUCGGGUGUGAAAGCCCUCGGCUUAACCGAGGAAGUGCAUUCGAAACUACUGAGCUUGAAUACUGGAGAGGAUCGCGGAAUUCCCGGUGUAGAGGUGAAAUUCGUAGAUAUCGGGAGGAACACCAGUGGCGAAGGCGGCGAUCUGGACAGAUAUUGACGCUGAGGUGCGAAAGCGUGGGGAGCAAACAGG